CGCCUUUUGAAAAUUAUAAAAGGUAACGCCUGCCCAGUGACAUCUGUUUAACGGCCGCGGUAUUCUGACCGUGCGAAGGUAGCGUAAUCACUUGUCUUUUAAAUAAAGACUAGUAUGAAUGGCAUCACGAAGACUUAACUGUCUCCUUAGUCCUAUCAGUGAAACUGAUCUUCCCGUGCAAAAGCGGGAAUAAAACCAUAAGACGAGAAGACCCUAUGGAGCUUAAAACUAUAACCUAGCUAUGCUAUCUAUUAAAAUUAAUUAAUACUAUUUAUGAAUAGACUUAACCAAAGUUUUCAGUUGGGGUGACUGUGGAGAAAAACUAAUCCUCCAUGUAGAAUUAAGCUUUGAACUACCAUUCUUAGCAUUAGUAAAUCUAACUUUACUUGAUCCAAUAAUUUUGAUCAACGGACCAAGUUACCCUAGGGAUAACAGCGCAAUCCAUUUCAAGAGUUCAUAUCGACAAAUGGGUUUACGACCUCGAUGUUGGAUUAGGACACCCUAGUGGUGCAGCCGCUACUAACGGUUCGUUUGUUCAACGAUUCAAGUCCU
rnacentral:rRNA from 1 species